UCCUUGGUGGUCCAGUGGUUAGGACUCAGAGCUUUCAACUGAGGUGGCCCGGGUUCAAUCCCUGGUCAGGGAA